UUGGAGUGGCCAGCUACACGCAGUGAAGAUGGGUAUAGUUACCCUGAAUUGUUUGACCUAGUCAUGAUGUAACUGACCAGACCACUUUACAGGUUCAGUGUUGCGCUUAUAUAACAGAACACGCAGUUGCCCCAGAUAUAUAUUCCAUAUGGCGUGAUCUUCCAUGGGUUCUAAGUUACUGCUGACGCAGCUAAAUUAUAUGCGUAUAUGAUCGUGAUCAAAUUACGAACCCAAACCCUACACCGCGUGGUCUAGUUUUAGAGUAUGACUACAUUAUUGUGGGAUCCGGAUCUGCUGGUGGAAUUGUUGCGGCGAGAUUAUCAGAAAAUUUUAACAUUUCUGGUAAGACUAAUUUAAAAAAUUGGAUACUUAUUUAAAUCGUUUUGUAAAUUACGCCAAAUCUAGAGGUUGUUAAAUACAUAAUCACGUCAUACACUUGGUGUUUGCAUAAAUUAUUUCGUAAAAUGUAUCCGUCGUAUGGCAUAUACAUAUUCAACUUCAAAAAGGCAAAUGUGCAUAUAAAUAGAUAGGUAUGCAUCCAUACACUAAAAUGCAAGCAUUUAUUCACUCAUUUAUUUUGUAUUAAUACUUUAAUAUUUAACAUUUUAUUAGAUAUGACAGAAGUAUGUGAGCAUCUCACGUUUAUCAUAGGUGAGGAUGUGACCAUGUGACAAUGACGUGCAAGAAUACCCUUUAAAGGCAAACCAAAUGUUUUUGCAUGGGAUGACCAGUUCAUUAGAUAACGGACGUAGUAACCCUUCUUUAAAAGUGACAGGAUAUUCCAUUAACACCACAUUAACAUAUUGUAGAUAUGCAUUUACUCUGUGAUUGUGGUUCUUAUGUGGGUGUGGAUGACGUAAGAUAAAACCUCGUUUAAAGUAAUUAAUAAUGUGUAUAAUUUUAGAAAAACCACCCUGCAAUCAAUCUCAUAUUUUGUGGACGGUCCCAUAUGAAAACUUCAUCACGGGAAUUUGUUUCUCAAAAAUUAUGCACUUUAUUAAAUACUUUCAACACGUAAUCUAAUAUAAGCCAGCAGUUUGUCGGGGUUCUCAAGUUUAAUGAAGUACAUAUUAUGUGAUAAUAAGAAUACCUAACAGGAUAUGCCUAAUAAGUCAAUAAAUUAAUUUGUUAUUAAAAUAA